rnacentral:lncRNA from 1 species
AAAGAGCCCUGUGCCCCACACCGCGCAGGGCGUGCUGCACACCUGGCACCCGGGACUCACCAUCUGUUCAGAGCUGCCUCCUCGGCCCAGAGGUGUGGCCUGCGGACAGAUAAGAGUACCUCAUGGCAGCACGACUCCACAUCAACUGCCACUUCAACUGCCAAUCAGAGUUGUGAGUGCCCUACUGUAUGUCUCUGCUCAGUUUUAGAGCUUCCAGUUGAAGGUCUCAGUAACUGCAUCAUCUGUUCUACUCUGCAAGCUGCAAACGAAUACUGUGUAUGCUUCCCCGAAGCAUCAAACUCCUCAGGCUGUUUGUCCCAUACUCACAGCAUACAGAUAAAACGAAAAAUAAUUUCAAGUCGGGCGCGGUGUAUCACACCCCUAAUCUCAGCACUUUGGUUGAGGCAAGAGGAUUGCCACAAGUUGAAGGCCAGCCUGGGCUUACAGAGCCAGACUUCGUCAAAUG